rnacentral:misc_RNA from 1 species
UUGGUAAAAGAUUUGGGUAAAACCAAAUUUUAUUACCCCCAACUCUGUGCAAUGGAGCACAUGGCUUAUGCAUCGAUGAAGCCCGCGGCAAAAAGCGAUAUGUAAUGAGAUUCGUUAGCUUCGAGAUUCAUCGAAUUGGUGAACACAUACUGGACCUCUCUGAGGUACUUGCGUUAGAGUGUCAGUUUUUUUGUAGUAUUGGUCUCUGAAAAAUGUGCUGCUUUCGAGUUUGCGCCCUAUUCAGAGGAAGCGUGUCAAAAUUUAUUUUUGAUACGAAUUUUAAUCCGAAAGGAUUUCAAUUAUUACAACUGGCCUCUAAUGUGAGAGGGAACCCACUGGAUUUAAGCAUAU